AUGCACACAGGAAUAUAAAUUAUUAUUCUAUGUUUUUGUCUGUGUUUUCCUUGAUUUUGGUUUCCUCAAAAUUUCUCUCAAUCUGUUGAAUGCACUGAAUCUAUUCUUUGAAUUCCUUAUUAAGUUGUUCCCCUAGCAUUUGUUCCUCAGGAAAUUUUCUGGUCCUGUAUUCUUGUCACUUGUUUGAGCCAUCUUGUUCUGUGUGUGUGUGUGUGUGUGCGCGCGUGAUCUGAAAUUGUCUGUCAUCUCUAAGGCACUUUAGUGUUAUUAUAUCAAUUUAUUGACUGUAUAUUGGUUUGUUUCACCUUGAUUUUUGUUUUGUUUUCAUGUAUCCAGGCAACAGGAAAAGCACAUCUUCAGGUUACUAGUUUGGCAGCAGUGAAUCAACACCUCUCUCCAGGUGGAGCUGGUAGUGAAGAGGAGUGUGGGAGUGGCAGUAGACACGGAGCUGACUGGGAGAGCAAGCGCUGUUGUCAACAGAAGGGUUGGGGGCUGGCAUCUGCUCCGUGGGAUGGAAAAUCCAAGAUUAAACAACAGGGGAAGGAGAAGAAGAAAAGGAUACAAAACAAAGGGGACACAGAUGAAGAAUGGAGGAAAACAGAAAGCUGCUGCAAGUGCUAACUGCCAAACACAACUGCGGCUGGAAUUCAGAGCUCACCAGGGGAAGGGGCAGCGUUGUCCACGGCAGGGCCAGGGCGGACACCUGCUCCGUGGGAUCAAAUAAAUAAAUAGAGAAGGAGAGAGAGACCAGACUUCGACCAUAUGCGCCAAGACAUG